AAAUAAUUUGGUUUUGGUUAUGUUUGUUAAUUUUCACUUAAUAAUACAUGUUAGAUUUAUUUUAAUAAGAAAAAAGUUCGGUUUCCUAUAUAUUUGUGUUGUUUUAAAAUUUAAUAUUUUAAAAUAUAUAUAAAUUUUAUAAUAGUUAAUAUAUUUAUUAAUAUUAUUUUUAAUUGGUACUCAGUAUUUAGAAUUAUACAAUUAAUGAAAGUUUUAUAUAGAUAUUGUGAGUUAGAACUGGCUAAUACUUGUGCCAGCAGCUGCGGUUAUACAAGAAGUUCAAAUUAAAAUUUUGCAGUAGAAUAUAAAGUUAGGUGAUUAAUAUAUAUAUAUAUAUACAUAUAUAGAUAUAUAAAGUAAUUAGAAAAUUUUAUUGAUAUAUAAUUAGGUAAAAUUUAUUAUAAUUUUGAAUUUUAUAUUUUUCUAAAAAAUUUAUUCUUUGAAAAUUUGAUAAUAAACUAGGAUUAGAUACCCUAUUAUUUCAAUAUUGUUAAAAUUGAUUUUUAAAUUCUACUAAGGUAUUAAGGAUUAUAAAAUUUAUUUAUUUGUUUAAAACUUAAAAGAUUUGGCGGUUUCACAUAUCCAUUUAGGGGGGCUUGUUAAUAUAAAAUGAUAUUCCGCGAUUUAAACUUACUUUUUUUUGAAAAAACAGUUUGUGUAUUGCUGUCAUUAGUUUAUGUUUUAAGAAUUAUUUAUAAAAAACUUUAAAAUUAAUGAGUUUUUAUGUCAAGUCAAAAUGCAGCUAAUAAAAAAGGUUUAAUGAGCUACUUUUUAUAAAUUUAAUUUCCGGUUUUAAAAUUUAAAUUUUUUAUUAAGGAGGACUUAAUAGUAAUAUAUAAAUUAGUUGGUUUAUAUGAAUAUGUUGGUUUUGUGUUGUGUACAUAUCGCCCGUCGCUCUUGUUGUCAGAUAAGAUAAGUCGUAACAUAGUAAGGGUAAUGGAAGUUGUUUUUGGGUAAAU
rnacentral:ncRNA from 1 species